rnacentral:rRNA from 1 species
UACGUAGGGGGCGAGCGUUAUCCGGAUUUACUGGGUGUAAAGGGAGCGUAGACGGUUCUGCAAGUCUGAAGUGAAAGCCCGUGGCUUAACCGCGGAACGGCUUUGGAAACUGUGGAACUGGAGUGCUGGAGAGGCAAGCGGAAUUCCUAGUGUAGCGGUGAAAUGCGUAGAUAUUAGGAGGAACACCAGUGGCGAAGGCGGCUUGCUGGACAGUAACUGACGUUGAGGCUCGAAAGCGUGGGGAGCAAACA